GUGACUGCGUACCUUUUGUAUAAUGGGUCAGCGACUUAUAUUCUGUAGCAAGGUUAACCGUAUAGGGGAGCCGGAGGGAAACCGAGUCUUAACCGGGCGUUAAGUUGCAGGGUAUAGACCCGAAACCCGGUGAUCUAGCCAUGGGCAGGUUGAAGGUUGGGUAACACUAACUGGAGGACCGAACCGACUAAUGUUGAAAAAUUAGCGGAUGACCUGUGGCUGGGGGUGAAAGGCCAAUCAAACCGGGAGAUAGCUGGUUCUCCCCGAAAGCUAUUUAGGUAGCGCCUCGUGAAUUCAUCUCCGGGGGUAGAGCACUGUUUCGGCUAGGGGGCCAUCCCGGCUUACCAACCCGAUGCAAACUGCGAAUACCGGAGAAUGUUAUCACGGGAGACACACGGCGGGUGCUAACGUCCGUCGUGAAGAGGGAAACAACCCAGACCGCCAGCUAAGGUCCCAAAGUCAUGGUUAAGUGGGAAACGAUGUGGGAAGGCCCAGACAGCCAGGAUGUUGGCUUAGAAGCAGCCAUCAUUUAAAGAAAGCGUAAUAGCUCACUGGUCGAGUCGGCCUGCGCGGAAGAUGUAACGGGGCUAAACCAUGCACCGAAGCUGCGGCAGCGAACGUAUCACCCAAGACAACUUUACGGAGUUGACGAUUGACGGAGCGAAGCGACGUCAAAGCGUUCAUUAAAGUCGAGUUGGCUUAGGGAUACGUUCGUUGGGUAGGGGAGCGUUCUGUAAGCCUGUGAAGGUGUGUCGUGAGGCAUGCUGGAGGUAUCAGAAGUGCGAAUGCUGACAUAAGUAACGAUAAAGCGGGUGAAAAGCCCGCUCGCCGGAAGACCAAGGGUUCCUGUCCAACGUUAAUCGGGGCAGGGUGAGUCGACCCCUAAGGCGAGGCCGAAAGGCGUAGUCGAUGGGAAACGGGUUAAUAUUCCCGUACUUGGUGUUACUGCGAAGGGGGGACGGAGAAGGCUAUGUUGGCCGGGCGACGGUUGUCCCGGUUUAAGCGUGUAGGUGUGUGUUCCAGGUAAAUCCGGUUCACUUUAACACUGAGGCGUGACGACGAGGCACUACGGUGCUGAAGCAACAAAUGCCCUGCUUCCAGGAAAAGCCUCUAAGCAUCAGGUAACACGAAAUCGUACCCCAAACCGACACAGGUGGUCAGGUAGAGAAUACCAAGGCGCUUGAGAGAACUCGGGUGAAGGAACUAGGCAAAAUGGUGCCGUAACUUCGGGAGAAGGCACGCUGACACGUAGGUGAAGUGAUUUACUCAUGGAGCUGAAGUCAGUCGAAGAUACCAGCUGGCUGCAACUGUUUAUUAAAAACACAGCACUGUGCAAACACGAAAGUGGACGUAUACGGUGUGACGCCUGCCCGGUGCCGGAAGGUUAAUUGAUGGGGUCAGCGCAAGCGAAGCUCCUGAUCGAAGCCCCGGUAAACGGCGGCCGUAACUAUAACGGUCCUAAGGUAGCGAAAUUCCUUGUCGGGUAAGUUCCGACCUGCACGAAUGGCGUAAUGAUGGCCAGGCUGUCUCCACCCGAGACUCAGUGAAAUUGAACUCGCUGUGAAGAUGCAGUGUACCCGCGGCAAGACGGAAAGACCCCGUGAACCUUUACUAUAGCUUGACACUGAACAUUGAGCCUUGAUGUGUAGGAUAGGUGGGAGGCUUUGAAGUGUGGACGCCAGUCUGCAUGGAGCCGACCUUGAAAUACCACCCUUUAAUGUUUGAUGUUCUAACGUGGACCCGUAAUCCGGGUUGCGGACAGUGUCUGGUGGGUAGUUUGACUGGGGCGGUCUCCCCCUAAAGAGUAACGGAGGAGCACGAAGGUUGGCUAAUCCUGGUCGGACAUCAGGAGGUUAGUGCAAUGGCAUAAGCCAGCUUGACUGCGAGCGUGACGGCGCGAGCAGGUGCGAAAGCAGGUCAUAGUGAUCCGGUGGUUCUGAAUGGAAGGGCCAUCGCUCAACGGAUAAAAGGUACUCCGGGGAUAACAGGCUGAUACCGCCCAAGAGUUCAUAUCGACGGCGGUGUUUGGCACCUCGAUGUCGGCUCAUCACAUCCUGGGGCUGAAGUAGGUCCCAAGGGUAUGGCUGUUCGCCAUUUAAAGUGGUACGCGAGCUGGGUUUAGAACGUCGUGAGACAGUUCGGUCCCUAUCUGCCGUGGGCGCUGGAGAACUGAGGGGGGCUGCUCCUAGUACGAGAGGACCGGAGUGGACGCAUCACUGGUGUUCGGGUUGUCAUGCCAAUGGCACUGCCCGGUAGCUAAAUGCGGAAGAGAUAAGUGCUGAAAGCAUCUAAGCACGAAACUUGCCCCGAGAUGAGUUCUCCCUGAGACUUAGAGUCUCCUGAAGGAACGUUGAAGACGACGACGUUGAUAGGCCGGGUGUGUAAGCGCAGCGAUGCGUUGAGCUAACCGGUACUAAUGAACCGUGAGGCUUAACCUU
rnacentral:rRNA from 1 species